UGGUGAUGAGGAUAAAUCUUGUCAUGAUGUGCACUGAUUGCAUUAUACGCUAUUCUGAACCACAG